GAUGAACGCUAGCGGCAGGCUUAAUACAUGCAAGUCGUGGGGCAGCGCAGGUAGCAAUACUGGGCGGCGACCGGCAAACGGGUGCGGAACACGUACACAACCUUCCGAGAAGUGGGGAAUAGCCCAGAGAAAUUUGGAUUAAUACCCCCGUAACAUAACGAUGUGGCAUCACAUUGUUAUUAUAGCUUCGGCGCUUCUUGAUGGGUGUGCGGCUGAUUAGAUAGUUGGCGGGGUAACGGGCCCACCAAGUCUACGAUCAGUAGCUGAUGUGAGAGCAUGAUCAGCCACACGGGCACUGAGACACGGCCCGACUCCUACGGGAGGCAGCAGUAAGGAAUAUUGG
rnacentral:rRNA from 1 species